CUUUUAGCAUAAGUAUGUCCCAUGCAACUUUGGGGAUAUACUUAUACUAAAA
rnacentral:pre_miRNA from 1 species